rnacentral:rRNA from 1 species
AAAAGAGCAGAGAAUGGAUGCCUUGACUCAAAGAUCCGAUGAAGGACGUGGCCAGCUGCGAUAAGCUUCGGCGAGCUGCUAAGCAAGCUUUGACCCGGAGAUUUCCGAAUAGGGAAACCUUAUGAGAGUUAUGUCUCAUAGCCUAGAAAUAGGCGGUAACUAGGGGAACUGAAACAUCUAAGUACCCUGGGAAUAUAAAUCAAUAGAGAUUCCCCCAGUAGCGGCGAGCGAACGGGGAGUAGCCCAAACCAUAUUCUUCGGAGUGUGGGGUUGUAGGACCUCAAUACCUGAAUUAACCAUAUAGCCAAAGGAGCCUGGAAAGGCCCGCCAUAGAGGGUGAUAGCCCCGUCGGCGAAAUAUAGUUAAUUCGGCAGAGUGUUCCUGAGUAGGGUCGGACACGAGAAAUCCGGCUUGAAUCUGGGAGGACCACCUUCCAAGGCUAAAUAGUCUUUGAGAUCGAUAGUGUACUAGUACCGUGAGGGAAAGGUGAAAAGUACCCCGGGAGGGGAGUGAAAUAGAACCUGAAAUUCUUUGCUUAAAAAGAGUAGGAGUCCUUCGGGAUGACUGCGUACUUUUUGUAGAACGGGCCAACGAGUUAGCUGUAUGGUGCAAGCUUAAGGGAGUUAAACCCGUAGGCGUAGCGAAAGCGAGUCUUAACCGGCGAAAUUAGUAUCAUGCACUAGACCCGAAACCAGGUGAGCCAUCCAUGGGCAGGUUGAAGGUGGGGUAAGACCCACUGAAGGACCGAACCGACUCGCGUUGUAAGGCGACCGGAUGACCUGUGGAUAGCGCAGAAAUUGCUAUCGAACCUGGAGAUAGCUGGUUCUUUCCGAAAUAGCUUUAGGGCUAGCCUCGUGAUGAGAGCAUGGGGGGUAGAGCACUGUUUAGGCUAGGGGGCGAAAUAAGUCUACCAAACCUAGACAAACUCCGAAUACCCAUGUGUCGUGCACGGGAGUCAGACUGUGACAGCUAAGUGCCACAGUCGAAAGGGAAACAGCCCAGACCGCCAUUUAAGGUCCCAAAUAGAAGUUCAGUGGAAAAGGAUGUGAGAUUGCAGAUACAACCAGGAGGUUGGCUUAGAAGCAGCCAUUCCUUUAAAGAGUGCGUAAUAGCUCACUGGUCUAUGCGAUCUUGCGCCGAAAAUACAACGGGGCUUAAACUUCUAACCGAAAAUGCGGGCUUCAAUUUAUUGGAGCGGUAGGAAAGCGUUCGCAUCAGCGCUGAAGUCAGACUGUGAAGUCUGGUGGAGCGGUGUGAAGUGCAAAUGUUGGCAUGAGUAACGUCAUCAGAGUGAAAAACUCUGACACCGAAAGCCCAAGGUUUCCCAAGCUACGUUAAUCGACUUGGGGUUAGUCGGUCCUAAGGUGAAGGCGAAAGCCGUAGCCGAUGGACAACAGGUUAAUAUUCCUGUACAUCAUGCAGAUCGCCCAAGCAAAGCUGGAGUGCGAUUUCGUUUCAAUUUGAUCCCUUCGGGGUGACAAGCGAAGCCUUAUCAAGCGAAAGUGGCGCUAGUUUCGGGGUGACGCCGCAGGAUAAUCCAAGCAUAUCAAUGAAUUUGUGUACAAGCGUUAAGCUUAUGUCUGUCUAGGUAAAUCCGUUCAGAUUCGCAAAACGUUAUGUAGAUGACCAUUUGGUCAGAUUUGGAUGACUUCAGCGGACGAGAAAACCCUCGUUACGAGAGCUGUAUGAUACCGUACCGUAAACCAACGCUGGUGGGUAGGUAGAGAAUACUAAGGUGAUCGGGAUAACUAUGUUUAAGGAACUCGGCAAAACAGCAGGCGUAACUUCGGGAUAAGCCUUGCCUGCAUCUUGUGAUUUAUCAUUAUGAUGUAGGCCGCAGCGAAAGAGCUCAUGCAACUGUUUACCAAAAACACAGGUCCGUGCUAAGUCGUAAGACGAUGUAUACGGGCUGACUCCUGCCCAGUGCCAGAAGGUUACGAGGAUGGGUUCACGCCUUGAAUCUAAGCCCUGGUGAACGGCGGCCGUAACUAUAACGGUCCUAAGGUAGCGAAAUUCCUUGUCUGGUAAGUUCAGACCCGCACGAAUGGAGUAAUGAUGUGAGCACUGUCUCAAACAUAGACCCGGUGAAAUUGCAAUAUCGGUAAAAAUGCCGAUUAGUUGUGGCAGGACGGAAAGACCCCGUGCAGCUUUACUAUAGUUUGACAUUGAUUCUGGGCACUAUUUGUGCAGAAUAGGUGGGAGACUUUGAAGCCAGGGCGCAAGCCCCGGUGGAGUCAUCUUUGAGAUACCACCCCGAUUUUGUUUAGAAUCUAACUCAAUUCAAUUUGAGGACAGUGUUUGAUGGGUAGUUUAACUGGGGCGGUUGCCUCCUAAAGAGUAACGGAGGCGCGCAAUUGGUCAGCUAGUUCCGGAUGGAAAUCGGAAUUGUCGUGUAUUCGCACAAGCUGGCUUGACUGUAAGGCCUACAAGCCGAGCAGGUACGAAAGUAGGUGAAAAUGAUCCGGUACCACCAUGUGGGUGGGGUAUCGCUCAACGGAUAAAAGUUACGCCGGGGAUAACAGGCUAGUCGCUUCCAAGAGUUCAUAUCGACGAAGCGGUUCGGCACCUCGAUGUCGGCUCGUCGCAUCCUGGGGCUGGAGAAGGUCCCAAGGGUAUGGCUGUUCGCCAUUUAAAGCGGUACGCGAGCUGGGUUCAGAACGUCGUGAGACAGUUCGGCCCCUAUCCGCCACAACUGUAGGAAAAUUGAAGGAAGCUGUCCCUAGUACGAGAGGACCGGGAUGGACGAACCCCUGGUGUACCAGUUGUCGUGUCAACGGCAUGGCUGGGUAGCUACGUUCGGCUUGGAUAACCGCUGAAAGCAUCUAAGCGGGAAGCCAGACCUAAGAAAAUUUUCCCCAUGAACCUCCUUGAAGAUUACAAGGUUGAUAGGCCACAGGUGUAAGCACAGCGAUGUGUGUGCCGAGUGGUACUAAUAGGUCAUUGAUGAAUUA